CCUGGCUCAGGAUGAACGCUGGCGGCGUGCCUAAUACAUGCAAGUCGAGCGAAUGACGAGGAGCUUGCUCCUCUGAUUUAGCGGCGGACGGGUGAGUAACACGUGGGUAAUCUGCCUGUAAGACGGGGAUAACUCCGGGAAACCGGGGCUAAUACCGGAUAACAAGAGAAGAAGCAUUUCUUCUUUUUGAAAGUCGGUUUCGGCUGACACUUACAGAUGAGCCCGCGGCGCAUUAGCUAGUUGGUGAGGUAACGGCUCACCAAGGCGACGAUGCGUAGCCGACCUGAGAGGGUGAUCGGCCACACUGGGACUGAGACACGGCCCAGACUCCUACGGGAGGCAGCAGUAGGGAAUCUUCGGCAAUGGGCGAAAGCCUGACCGAGCAACGCCGCGUGAGCGAUGAAGGCCUUCGGGUCGUAAAGCUCUGUUGUUAGAGAAGAACAAGUACGAGAGUAACUGCUCGUACCUUGACGGUACCUAACCAGAAAGCCACGGC
rnacentral:rRNA from 1 species